AGUUCCGAGAAUUGAACUUGGGACCUUGCGCUCGCCAGAAUCAAGAAAAAAAUCCCUGACACAUGUUAGGUCCUCAGUAAUGAGUUGUUGAGUAAAUGACAGAAUGAAGCAAAGUUCCAUCAAGUGAUUGGUUACUCCAUCUCCUUGACACAUUGUGUGGCAGAUAUCUGGCAGACAUCUCAAUGAUCUACUUUCUGCAUCAGGAAAAGGAAGAAAUGCAAUGGCAGCUUCAAUACUGUGAACAAAGCUUCAGGAAUGAAAAGCUCACAUUUCCGUGGAUGCAGUGUCAGUGUAUGUCAAAUCAGUUAUUUAUUUAUUUCCAGAUGCUCUCAGAAAUGAAAGAUAAUGCUGUAUUUCAAUUUUGUGUUGACCUGCCACUUUCCUCAUCCUAGUAACUAACUGGCUUAGAAAAUGACACAGAGCAUCAACCUGUCAUGAUUUCAUUACCUGUACUCCUACUCCUUCCCUGAAGCUUAUUAUAAAGAAGAGUUAAUUACAGUCCUGACUAACUACACAAGUCUGACACACAUAACAUGUAAAAAGCUUUUUAUUGCCAGAUAAAUGCUUUCUCAGCUGCAAUUAUGCUGAACAGCAAGUGGUGAUACCAAAGAUGGCUAAUAACAGGUCUGAUUUCCAGUGGGUUAUACUAAGGUUGUACACUGGACUCCACCUCCUAUUUCAAUGCAGCAGCAUGAAUUUGAAUUAGGUAAAACUUCUUUAGAUGGCAUACUUAUUAUAUCUAAAAACUUACAUUUUAUGACUCUAGGGGCAAAUGACUAGUAUAUACCGUGCUCUAUAUUUAAAAUACAUUAAGUAACAGGAUAAUGGUGACAUUAGGCAUUCUUGUAGCUUUAUAUAAAGAGAUUUCUGAUAUUUCCUCAUGUAUU